ensembl:lncRNA
GGGGGAUGGAAAAAGAUAUUUGGCUUUUACACCCGCCAAACACGUUUCUGUGUCCAUAACAUUUUGUUCCAGCACUAUCUCUGGCAAACAGGUGGUCUUGUUUGCACAAGCAAGUAAUUAGCAGAGGCGGGGUUAUUAGGUGAGUAUUUUUGGCAGGCUGUUUUUCUCUGAGUAUGUUUUGCUCUUAAGUUAACUAGGCACCUGGCAGCAAUUACAGCCAAAGCCAGGCAACCCAGCUAGGCUACCCAGGUUAAUGAAAAAACCAUAACCGCACUGCUUUGAAGGGUGUGUAACAGAGGGCAAUCUUCAUGAAGAGGGAGAACUGAACUGAUAGGAUGAAAGGUGUUAACUGUGGGAGCAGCUACUACAGACUUUUCCUCCUUCUCCCUUCAAGAUCAGCGACGGUGACCAUUGUUCAGAGCCUACAUAAAGCCUUUCAACAAUACAACUUACUACAGUCAUUUUAAAAGAAAUCGUGGAGCAUAGGUUUGAAUUGCAUUCUCUGUUCUAGGAAAGCUACAGGUAUCAGGCUGUAACUACUCUGCCAAUGAGGUUAAUGAAGAAGCUGAAGAGACACUGGUUUUAAAUUGGAACAGGAAUGAAGGUAAAUAGCAAAGAUGUCACAGAAAGGAAAGAGCAUGCCAGGCCACCCCAUCACUGAGCAGGGUAUCACAGUGCAGAGACAAGUCCCGACACCAG